UUGAUUACAGAGGUCUGCCUCAUGACAGGUGAAAGAGAGCAGGUACACGGGGUUUUAACCCGCGCCCUGUCAUCAGUUCGCCAAGUGGAAUCUGAAUUGAGGUCUCAUACAACUGACGAUAUAGAUGAUUUUGAUGCAGCCUCUUUUGUCAGUGAAACAAGGGCCUUGUUUAGAAGUAGAUCUGUGGACUCAUCACAAAGGACAGGAAAGAGAGGCAGAAAAAAAGGAUGGCAAAGGGGACAUUUAUGGAAGACUCAUUUUUUCUUACUGCAAAAGAACGAUGAAGAAUUUGUACCACCACCGUCUGAACUAUCAAGACUGACAAGAAAUGGAUUAGAGAACAGAAGGAAGGAUGUUAAAUGAAAGCUGUCAAGUAACAGCAGGAAGCAAUGCAUCAGUGACCCAAUUGCAAGUUCAGGAGCAGGUGCAUAUACAAGAAUUGUCAAAUGGAAAUAUUGGUACAAGGACUUCAGAAAAUCCCAUUAUAGAAGACUACCACCAAAGAGAAAAUGAGGUUAUGCAACAACAUGCUGAUCUUCUAGAAAAUGAAACAUCAGAAAACAUCCCACAAAGGGCAGCUGAGGUAGGAUAACUAUAUUGCUUAUAUUGCUUAAUUGGUCUAUUAUGCUUAUUUAUGUAAUAUAUUAGUGUUUGCAAAGCCCUUGUCUGGUCAGUUUGCUGGGCUUUAAAUGCAGUUAUUGUUUUAAACCAGAUCAGCAGUGAUGUAUUGCCCCAAAACAUGAUCUGAUUUUUAUAUGUUCACCAGGUCUUUAUUUGCAGUGGUUUCAUGACACCUACUAUAUGUAACACAGAAACCUUGUGUGUGCAAUAUUUAUGCUGAUAAUUAAAAUAUGUUAAGGCAGCCCAAUUGCAAAACCAGUUACUUUGGUGCUGGAUGUUCCAUCUGAAAUGAGCUGCCAAAAAACAUUUCUCUUAGGGGCAAACAGAUACCUGUAGACAUUUUCAUUUUAAGGAGAGGUAGUUCAAAUACUAUUUUUACACAAAGAAUGCAUUUCUGUUUAUAUAGACUGAGAUUCUGGACAUUGAGCAACUAUUUCAGGCUGAUAGCUUCAAAAAUGAACUGAUUGCAACUGGCCAAUCACAGUUUCAAUUAUCAGAAUGGACUACUCAUCCAUCAACGCCUCCACCACUACCUUUCUCAUAUGUAAAUGCUGACACACCAACAGUAAUUGUACUGCUGGAACAAAGAUACAAAGACCAUUUCCUGGCUGGACUCCUCCCUGGGAGAACAGGAAGAAGCACUCCAAUGACUUGUAACCUGACCUGAUUGAUCAACCUAAGUUGAAACUACAGAUACAAGAGAGCUGCUGUGGAUGUACUGUUUUUUAGGUAAGGAAAAUAAUUGCUAUCAUACGCUUCAUUCAGUAUUUUACUAAAAUAUUCUUUUCCAAGCAUGAAAAUCUUUAAAGACUGAAAAGCAUAUAUAUAUUUUUUUAUUAAGCCUCUUUUUAAAAAAAAUUGCAGACAGCUAAUGUGUUGUAGCUAGAUGUGGUGGUCUUUGUUUAACAGGAAUCAUUUUAUCUACAUUUUGGA